CUGUUAUCACUGACCGAAAGGAAUGCUGGCAAGGUCUUGAACAAGAUAUCACAGACAGAGUUUCCAUUGGUUCCACUUACAUGGUGUCCGCUUUUGUUGGAGUAUCUGGCCUUUCUCAGGGAUCUGCUGAUGUUCUAGCUACACUGAAACUAGAAUAUCAUGAUUCAGCUACACAUUAUGUGUUCAUUGGAAGGUAUAAAAAAAAUUGUAAUUUCAUUACAUCUUGUUUCAAAGAAAUUGAGGAAAACUCCCUUACGUGUUUACAAUUAUUUUCUGCAGAACUUCUGUUAAAAAAGGUAGCUGGGAAAAGUUGGAAGGAACAUUUUCACUGGCUACUAAGCCGGACCGGGUUAUAUUUUAUUUCGAAGGACCGGCUCCUGGAGUUGAUUUGCUUAUAAGAUCAGUAGAGAUCAACUGUUCCAGUCCAAAUAACAAUGUAUAUCUACUAUCAUGCAUGACAUUAUGCAUUUCAAUACUGUUAUUUCUUUAUGCAAUAUUGACAAAAUCUUUGUAUGUAGCAACGUCAUUAAACAUAAGACGUGUCAGUGUCUUGUUUGGGGUCCGUGUCUGUGUUAGUGCUUAAUAGAAAUCUUCUACUGUUGGCUGAACACCAAGCUCAUACCUGUGCAUUGGUUAUUACUUCUUUAAUUUGUAAAUUGAACUUGCAAUGAGCCUACGACGGUUUCACUCAAAUUGUUAAAGUUAAAUCUUUAUGUUUUAACACAUACUAACUUGUGUACCUUUUCCUCUUAUUUUUAAAGGCCACAAACACAGAAGGAUGUGUUUCUACUGGAGACGAAAACAUCAUAAUAAAUCCUCAGUUUGAGGAUGGCCUGAAUAAUUGGUCAGGAAGAGGCUGCAAGAUUGUGUUGCAUGAUUCCAUGGCUGAUGGUAAAAUUGUUCCGAAGUCUGGGAAAUUCUUUGCGUGUUCAACAGAACGAACACAAAAUUGGAAUGGAAUUCAGCANNNNNNNNNNNNNNNNNNNNNNNNNNNNNNNNNNNAUAACCGGACGCGUGCAGCGCAAGCUUGCCUAUGAGAUCACUGCUUUAGUUCGGAUAUACGGCAACAAUGUCACUAAUGCCGAUGUACGGUCUACUGUGUGGGUUCAAACACCAGAUCUCCGAGAGCAGUAUAUAGGCAUUGCAAAGUUAGUCCUUAAAUUAUUUUUUGCUAUUAAUAUUUUUCAGAUAGACUCCUAAAGCAUAUCAUUUUCCUGUUUAUUAUUCUUGAAACUUUAUAAACAUAACAAAAAGAAAUUUGUUAUAUUAUGUUUCAUCCAUGAAUUUUAUAAUUAGCGAUAAUAUAAACCUUACUUACGUAACAUUUGUAGUAGUUUCUGAAUUCUGAACAAAGCAGGUGUGUUCUUAAGUGUGCAGGCAACAGAUACAGAUUGGGUGACAAUGCA
rnacentral:lncRNA from 1 species